rnacentral:snRNA from 11 species
GAGGCAGGACUCCUGUCGCGAGGCUCCACCAUUGCACUUUCGGUUGGGGCUGACCCGCAGGGCGGUCCCGAACUGGGAUAGGCCCACAGCUAAAUUUUUGAGUGCGGGGGACGGCGGGAAUUCCGAGUUCCGA